rnacentral:lncRNA from 1 species
AGUUCCUGGUGAUGACAGAUAAAGCUGCUGCAAACAUUCAUGUGCAUAUUUUCGUGAGGAUGUAGUUUUCAUUUCACUUGAGUAAAUGCAAAGCAGUGAGAUUGCUGGGUCAUACAAUCUCGUCCAGAAGUAAUAUACGUCAAGAAAGAAGAGAUUAUAAAUGUCUAGCAGGGACUGUUAGAAAUAUAUUUGGUGCCCUUGAUGAUUUCUCAAUCAAGACAGGGAACACUGAGGUACAACCACAUAGAGCAUCGGAGCUGCUACGGUAAAGGGGAAGGAGAGAUUCCUACUCUGGUUGAUGACACUGGAUCCUUGCAAGCUGGACAUCUCGGAACAACAGACACAGCUGUUCAACCUCAGAGGUGGGGCAAACACUGUAAUCCUCU